AACUUAUCACGAGCGACCGAGGGACUGGCCCCAUGACGUCGCGGCAACCUCCCGUAAGGGAAGGUGCCAAAUCCAGCGAAGCGGCGACGCUUCGGAAGAUAAGGA
rnacentral:ncRNA from 15 species